UACGCCAUUUAUUCUGGGUGUGCCAGUCAGGAUAGGCAAGGUUAGGCUGCAAUAACGUACAGUGCCAAAACUUCAGUAGCUUAAAACAACGAAGGCUUAUGAGUCACUUUCAAGUCUAAAGCAGAGAAGGAAGAGGAUGUGGAGAGUCAUGCGCGAGCUUCCACCGGGAAAUGAUAAACAUCACUUCUGCUACUGUUUCAUGGUUCAAAGUAAGUCC
rnacentral:lncRNA from 1 species